GGACUACUCGGGUAUCUAAUCCUGUUUGAUCCCCACACUUUCGUGCUUCAGCGUCAGUUACAUGUUAGUAGGCUGCCUUCGCAAUCGGUGUUCUGUGCAAUAUCUAAGCAUUUCACCGCUACACUGCACAUUCCGCCUACCUCACAUGUACUCAAGACACACAGUAUCAAAGGCAAUUCCACAGUUGAGCCGUGGGAUUUCACCUCUGACUUAUGCGCCCGCCUACGCACCCUUUAAACCCAAUAAAUCCGGAUAACGCUCGCAUCCUCCGUAUUACCGCGGCUGCUGGCAC
rnacentral:rRNA from 1 species